UUAAUUUAUUUGCUUGUUUUCUCAGAGAGGCCACUAAAAUACAGAAUAGUUUUUGGCGCUCCGGCGGGCAGCCCCCGAGGGGGCCAGCGUCCCCAGGGAGGGGACGCCCGCCGAGGCAACAUGUUACGGGUAACGUUCACAAUGGUUUGGGAGUCUUUUUAGAACUCUGUAAUGAUCCCUCCGCUGGUUCACCAACGGAGA
rnacentral:misc_RNA from 1 species